AUUGAACGCUGGCGGCAGGCCUAACACAUGCAAGUCGAACGGUAACAGGAAGCAGCUUGCUGCUUUGCUGACGAGUGGCGGACGGGUGAGUAAUGUCUGGGAAACUGCCCGAUGGAGGGGGAUAACUACUGGAAACGGUAGCUAAUACCGCAUAACGUCGCAAGACCAAAGAGGGGGACCUUAGGGCCUCUUGCCAUCGGAUGUGCCCAGAUGGGAUUAGCUAGUAGGGGGGGUAACGGCUCACCUAGGCGACGAUCCCUAGCUGGUCUGAGAGGAUGACCAGCCACACUGGAACUGAGACACGGUCCAGACUCCUACGGGAGGCAGCAGUGGGGAAUAUUGCACAAUGGGCGCAAGCCUGAUGCAGCCAUGCCGCGUGUAUGAAGAAGGCCUUCGGGUUGUAAAGUACUUUCAGCGGGGAGGAAGGGAGUAAAGUUAAUACCUUGGCUCAUUGACGUUACCCGCAGAAGAAGCACCGGCUAACUCCGUG
rnacentral:rRNA from 1 species